GAUUGGUUUGAGUGCAGUGGUCUUUGCAAAUAAUUGAUCACAGCCAGGAUUCCUGUUGUAAAUUGUUCCUGUGUUCCUUCUGCACUCUCACUGUUUCACUUGACUCGCUGAA
rnacentral:Y_RNA from 1 species